ACUCCCAAACAAAGAUCAGCUGGCCCACGCUUGUCUGCAUACAGACAGAACACAGAACCUUGCACACGUACCGUAAACUGGGAGCGCGUUCGUGAAUUUUGUUUACUUUAGCUUGCUGAGGAACUGUUUCACCGCCUGACAGUCUGGAUUUUAUUGGAGCUAAUAUUUAAAAUUUCAACCUUAUCUUGCAAAUCGCUGCUAACGUUCCCCGUGGAUUUUUAGAGGUGUACUGCCACGAUGGGAACAGACAAGAAGACAAUCGAAGCUGAAGAGAAGGAUGAAAAAGUAUACAAAUCUUUCAAGCAACGCAAAACGUUUACUCAAAGGAAGGAGGAGGUUGCAGGCAUAAGAGCAAAGUUUCCAAACAAAGUACCAGUGAUUGUUGAAAGGUACUAUAAAGAGGUUCAGCUUCCUUUGCUGGACAAGACAAAGUUUUUAGUACCACAAGAACUCACAAUGAGCCAGUUUGUUACAAUAAUCAGAAAUCGAAUGCAACUCACUGCCACACAGGCCUUCUAUCUGAUAGUUAACAACAAGAGUCUUGCAAGCAUGUCUACUACUCUAGCAGAGAUCUAUCGAGAUGAGAAAGAUGAGGAUGGUUUCCUCUACAUGGUAUAUGCUUCCCAGGAGAUGUUCGGUUGCUGAGAGACCGCAUCCGUGAGCUCAUCUCUUUAUCACGUUGCUUUCUACUCGCCUUUAUGUCUUAAUAUUCCAAAUAUUUAUGUACUAUUCUAUUUUUCAGCAUUGCUUUUUUUUUGUCCUUGAAUUGUUUUGCCUGCCUGAAGAUGAGCAAAUGGAGAGAAAAUCUCGCAUGAACUCAGAAUGCCAAAGCGCAAAGCAUGAAGCAAGAUGUGUGUGCAUGAAUGGAUGUACAUGUAUGUAUGUACAUGUACAUAGGUGUAUAUGAAUUAAAGGGGUCUUGCCGAGCAUCAUGCACCAGUGCUGGAACGGAAAACAUGUACGGACUGAACAAGAUGUCAGUCAAGAAUAUCAGCAGGUCUCCAAUUAUGUACAGAGUAUGUGAAGAUGCUCCCAGUUGAUGCAACGUUGUUAUUAUGUAACACACAUGUAAGUAAACAUGAUUGAAGCUUCAAUUUUGUACCUGGCCAUUGUGUAUGUUACCUUAAUACCGAGCAUUCAGUAUGUUCAUGAUUAAGUUUCAAAACACACUGAAUGUUUUGAAGUACCGUAUUAAAGACACAAUUCAAAAUUGCAGUCCACAAGAGUAUCGCGUAUGCUAAAGAAAUUAUUUUGCUCAAGAGGGUGCUGUUCUGUAUGAAAAGCCUAAUCAGCAUUAAUAUUUUGAACUUGAAAGGUAUAAGUUUAUGAUAGAUGUCAUUGAAAGCCAAGGUGUCAUUGUCUAUUCCUAUCUUAAACUUGGGAUUUUACCCAAGAAAAUAGCUAGGAAUGCAUCAAAUUGGUCCACUUGACUUUUCUAGAGGUCCUCUAGAAACCAAUAUUUAUGAUUUGGUACAUUUAUGUCUACUGAUGGGGGAAAAUAUAUUCUACAAGUAAGUCUGUUUUGGUGCCCUAAUGCCAGCCAUCACAUAAAUCUUUUGAACAUUUCAAAAUACCCCACUUAUUCGUUAUGGGAAUCUUUCUAGUCAGAACUAUCAAUCUGUUUUGUGAAAGUACAUUGGCCUGCUAAUUAAAAGAUGAAGAUAGUCUAAUGAUUUGGCGUGGGUUGAAUUCUUCACGGUACCAGGCUUUUAUUGCAUGCUGUCGAAAACGUGGAGCUCAGAAUGGGCAUGCUACAUACUUAGCAUCAUAAGCCCAAGCCGGUAUAUUCCAUGUGAAUCGCCCCACUUAGGUUGAUGAAAACAGGGUUUAUUAUCAAAACUUUUUCUAGAAGGACUGAUUGAGCUAGAAUCUUGAUGAACUUGUCAAACUUGGACCAAUGGAAACACACAUGUUGAAACAGAUUAACACUGGUGUUAGUAUGUAGAUAACCCUUUUACAAGUAAAAAUCCACCUUUAAUAUGUAUUUAUGGGUGAAGAUUGUUGGUAUAGGUUUGUUUGUGAAAAAAAUACUAAAAAUUAAAGUGCUUGUUUUUGUAUUUUAUAUUUUCAUAUUCAUAUUUGAUUGGUUGACAUUUUUUUUUUCUUUUUGGGGUAUUUUUUAAUUUCUUUUUCAAUUGAGAGUAGAAAAUUGCAUAGUACAGUACAUGUAUAAAUAUCAUAUAUAUGCUUUGAUGUACCACAUACCGUAGCUGUCAUUAGUUUAUGUUUCAUUUGGAAAUUGUGAUUUCUCCUUUUUCCUUUGGUUAGAAAAGUUUGACAGUAAUGGAUCUAAAUGUAUGUAUAUUUUCAGGGUACCGUACAUCACUACAUGUAUGCUUUUCCCAGCAAUAUAAGACAUGUGCAAUUUUCGCUAGGUUUUGCACUUUAUUUUGUACAUUAUUUUCAUUGCCACCUACAUAAAGAGAAUACCAUCAGCAUGGUAUGGAAUUCCAAUUUACAGAGUUGCUUGGUAAGUAAAGAUUGAGAAAGUCAUUUUGACUUCUCUAUUAAAGACUAUUGAUUUGAUAUUAACCUGCGUGGAUGGUUAAAGGAUUUCCUUUUUUAGAGGACUUGCAAAACCACCUGCCUUGCUUUAAUCACUUUAUUGUUCCUAUCAAUCCACCAUGAAGUAAGGAAAAUAUUUCUCUGCCAUUGACCUUUCUAUUCAAUCAGGUCAGAUGAUAUCUUAUCAGUUGUUUGUGAAAAUCAGAGUCUACAUGUAGCAACACCAUUGUUAUGGUGAACUUGUUUGUUUUCAAUACAUUUGAAUGUACAUUUGAUUUUCAUUUGUAAGAAAGACCAAUGAAAACAUGAAUAAUAAGCUUAUUGUUGUUAUGUUUUGUUGUAGAGAACAAUUUAAUUUGUUCAUUGAAAUUUGCUUCAGGGAAAUGGUAAAGUUGAAGACAUCAGCCUCCCACUCCCUCAAAACAUAAAUGUCACUUGUGAAGUCUGUCGGAUUCAAUGAUUUGAUUUAGUGAAACAAUUUUCAAUAGAUCUCUUUCCAUGUAAAUAUGUUGGAUAAGUAAAAAAAAAAUCAUGAAAACAUCUUUGAUAUCACAGAAUAUUCUAUACCACAGCGUGAAAGAAAGAAUGUUAAAAUGAUAAUCUGAUUCACCCCCCCCCCAACUGUCUGAACUCAACUCCAAGACAAGGUGCUAAAACAACAUGCCAGAAGUAAUUUUGAUGAAGGGCAUAUCUCCAAAAAGAAGAGUCAAAUAUUUGUAUAAAGCAUUGUGAAUUUCAAAAUAUGUAUACGAAAGAUUUUCUCCAAAGUCAAUUAAAAAAGUUUUUUAAGGCCUGGUCCCACUGGGCGACGUACACAAAAUGUACUCAUAACGAAUACAGCGGACAGGCAAAAUUUUGGGGUGUCUCCAUCCGUUUUCAUCCGCUCCAGACAAUGGACAAAAUGGGCGAACAAUGAAAUCACAGUGGACAGAUGCUCUAUGGAUAUAGAGCGUAUGAAACACGAAUGCAAAGAGUACACAUCGGAUACAUAACGUUUUCCAACUGAUAGCAAGAUUCUUCUCCAUUUUACAUCUUCUCUGCAUCCGCAAGUGCAGUGGGACCAAGCCUUAAAACAUGAUAGAAAGGAUGAUGGUACAUGAAAUCUUUGUAUGUUCAGAACAGGCAGUCCUCAGCAUAUCUUGGACUGAGCAGCAUGUGCAGCAUUUAUUAAUUCUUCUGUGAAUCAUCAUCCUCUAAGUUCCUUUUGGUCAUUGUUUUUGAUAAGUCCCUGAUGUGAUUAAAUGUACAUGUAUAUUGGUGUCCAGGGAAAGGGAAAACAGUUAUACUGUAUCUCAUUUAAAAUUAAAUGCAUGUGAAUUUUGUAUGAGAACAUGGAAAGAGAAUGAAUCAGAAUUUUGUGAGGAUUCUGUAGUUUUAUACUCUUAUCCACCGGCUAGUCGCUAGCACACUUAAAUUUCUAAAAGGAAUAUAUUCAACCUCCUUGGUGUACUUUGGUGUGCUUCUCUCACAACACCAACUGAUUGCUAUUCUUAACAUAGAAUUUAUCGUAUGAUUAUGCAGUACUACUACUACUAAACAAUGAUUUUAAAAGGAAAAAUCUGAAAAUUAACAUUUCUGUGCUCUACAAGUUGAUUUCCUGUAGUUUUCUCGAUAAUUUUGCUCUAUUUUCUUUGAGAAAUGUUGAAUUCUGAGUUCUUAAAAUAAAUUUUCAACUAGAAUCAUCCACAAUUUUGAUUGGAAAGGUUUUAGAGGUCUGUUAUAUUAUAUAUUUUUUUAAUCAAUAUUAUCAAGAAUUGAUAGAAAAGAAAGAAGAAGAAGCUAAUCAUGUCUAGUCUGUUCAUAUGGCAUUGCCUAUUUACAUGUAGAUCACUAAUGAUUAGUAGUUUCUUCCAGAAUGUAUCGUACAGUACAUAUAAUAGAACGUAAGAUUUCAUAUACAUAGCUUUCAAUGUACAUUGCAUUUGGGUAUAUUUUUGUCUGGAUUAUAAAGCAUAAUAAUUUGAAUGUAUACCAUGUUGCAUUUAUUGGUGCUGGUAAUUUUGAUGUCUAUUUACAAAGGCUUCCAUGAUCAUAGUUGUAUGCAGCCAGUAGAAUCCACGAUGCCGCUAUUGCAUUGCAGUACAUGUAUGUAUAUAAAGACAAUGACAUUUAGAAUAUUAUGCCAGUUCAGAAGAAGAAACUUAAUUUAUUUAAUGAUGGCAUUUGGCAGUUGAGACAUUUUUCUGUUGUUAAAUGCCUUUGAAAAUUGUGUAAUAUUUGAUCUGGCCUGUGGAAACAAGUUAGACAAACAACAAGUCAUUACAGUUUUGACAUCAUUUGCCAACAGAAGUACUGAGGUAUAUUGUACGGUCAGAUGUGGUCUAUUACUGUAUAGUAAUUUUUAUGCAGAAUACACUCUGUGUAGAGUACAUGUAUAUUGAUAAUACAGCCCCCUGCUUUAAUAGAAUCUGAAUCCAGUAAAAUGGUUUCUAAAGGAAUUCAUGAGUGAAUGAACACUUGCAUACAUGUACAUGUAGGCACAGAGUAAUAGCUCUAUGAUGUAGGCAUUAAAGGGAAUCCCUAUAUCCCCUUUGGAUGUUUGGACAAGAUGAAAGGAAGAAAUAGUAUCAAUGUACAUGGAGUAUCAACUACAUGUAUUACCAGAUUAAUAUCAUACCAGUACCUACUGUAUUAAGUCACAAUGACUAUAUGUAUAUCAGCGCAUUAUAGUCCUACAUGUACACUACUUCAUUGGCCUCAUAACAGGUCAAGUACUACUAACAAUAUCCAACUUUUUGUUCUGUCUGUCUUAUAUUUUUUAUAUAAAAUACAAGUAUGUGUGUACAUGUAGGCCUACGUGGAGCUAACCUUUGUUUGAUAAAAUACUUAACACUCCACAAAAUAAUGAAAAUAUUCUUUGAUAAUAACAAGGGGGUGUUUCCCUGCACUCUUCAUAUAAUAUUUUCUUGUAAUUCUACACAUUGAUUAUAAAAGAGCAAAUUUUUGUAAAUAGAAUGCAUCUUCCUUUCCUAAAGGGGUCGUUAAAGGACAAGUCCACCCCAUCAAAAAGUUGAUUUGAAUAAAAAGAGAAAAUUCCAACAAGCAUAACCCUGAAAAUUUCAUCAAAAUCGGUUGUAAAAUAAGAAAGUUAUGACAUUUUAAAGUUUUGCUUAAUUUCACAAAAUAGCAUAUGCACAUCCUGGUCAGUGUGCAAAUGAGGAGACUGGUGAUGUCAUCCACUCACUAUUUCUUUUGUAUUUUAUUAUAUGAAAUAUGGAAUAUUCUCCUCAUUGUCAAGUGAAACAACGAUAAAUUCCUCCCUGAACCUGUUGAAUUAGCAUUGUUUGAUAUUAUUUGGUUCAGUCAAGUUGGUCCUUAUUGUCAAAUGUGUAAAAAAAUGAAAUAUUGUAUAAUUCAAACAAUAAAAAACAAAAAUAGUGAGUGAAAGACAUUGACUGUCUCAUUUGCAUGUCACUGAAUUGUGCACAUCACUGUUUUGUGAAAAAUAAGCAAAACUUCAAAAUGUUAUGACUUUUGAUGAAAUUUUCAGCAGGAUGCUAGUUUGAUUUUUCUCUAUUUAUUCAAAUCAACAUUAUUCUGGGGUGGACUUGACCUUUAAAUAUACGAGUAAAUAUUUGCCUAUGGAUUCCCUUUGAAUUGGGACAGUCAACCAACACACCUUUGCAAAGGCUGUAAAUGCCAAACUUUUCCUUCCAGCUCAAUUGAAUAAACAUAGUAAACAACAUUUUGAAUUUUGUUGAAUGGUGUAAUGAUCACAUGUUUAGCUUGGCUCAUCCUAUUGCAUCAUUACAUUCAAAUCAGCCAUGGUCCAUUGAGUAUACCCCCCAAAAAAUAGAUAAAGUACAAGAACUCAAAGAUAUAAAUUAGAUUUCAUUUCCUCUUCCAGGAAUACUGCAGUAAACAUCACAGCAACCAUAUUUUUUUUUUUUUUUUGAAAUUGUUAUCUAGUAGUUUUGUUAACCCUGACAACUGUCCCCUGUUUUUGUACAUUGCCCUUGGACUUGAGCACUCUUGAGUGAGAUCUCAAAUGAUGUUUAAAUGACAUUUACUGACAUUUGUUGUUGAUUUAGUUCAGUACUAUUAAAGGAGCAGUAUUUUGCUCGAGACUGCAUGACAGAUAUAUCAAGACAGAUGCCCAAGCACUAUACAUGUAAACAAUAUCUCAACUUGUGAUUCACAAGUAAAUUAACAACCAUCUAUUCCUGGAACAGAAUUGUAUGUAGAUGUCAACUGCUGCAUACUUCUAUGUUUUAGACAAUGUCUGUUGUUUACAUGUCAGCAGACUUGCAACCUUUAGGAGCGUGCAACCUUGGAUCAAAUGUGUCAAGGUUUGGAACAAACAUGAUUUCUGCUGUCUUUACCCAUCUCAUUGUUCAUCUUACUUGGUAAACAACUCCACCUACAUUUAAAGUUUGUUGUGAAAAGUUUUUUUCAAUUCAUAUCUCAGUAAGUAUGCCAAGAAAUAUAAGUUUAUUCUGGAAUUUAUUAACAAGUAGUUGGGUACAAUAUUCAUGUAUUUUCUUAUGUUAUAAUGCAAGUGUAAUUGAGAUAUAUAUGUAUACAAUAUAAACUUGUAAAUAGAUAUUUUUGUACUGCGAAGUUCUGUGUGUAUCUAAGAUCAAGGUUAUGGAACAAAGGCUGGCUAUAUGUGUACCUGAAAUAAUAUUUCAAUGUAAGUUAUGAUAGUUUUCUGACUGAUAUAUUGGUCUAACAGAAUAUUGGCAUUUAAUGUUAAAAUCACUGCUCCCUAUUUUCAAUCUGUUCAAUUAAAAAAAAAGAAAAAAGAAAAUCUCCAAUCCACUGUUUGGUAUGCUAUGCACCUGCCCAUAUUCUUCUGUUUAUUUACUAUAUUUUAUUUACAUUCAAAUUGAAAAUUAAUGAAAGGGACUGCCAUCUCACUUCAGAUUUAGAUUGAAAUAUGUGGUUAGAGAGGGAAAAAAAAUUUGUUGUUAUAAUGUGAGGCAACUUUUUUCAUAAUUUUCAAGUAUUUCUUGCCGGUAGAAUAUUCUCUGUUAUAUGUGUCACUGUGAUAUUAUGCAGUUCUAAGGCACCCUCCAUUAGUUUUUUUUUUUUUUUUAUCAUAGCUUGUAACUAUCCUUUGUCUCAUCCAAUGUAGGUUUUGAAUUUCAGCCUUAAAAAUCCUGAAAUCAUGUUUCUCAGGUUCCAAGUAAUAGGGGCAGUAAAUUAUUUAAUUUGUCAAUUUUCAUAUGAACAAAGAAAAUGCUGUAAUGAUACAAGGAUGUAUGGAAAUAUGAGUAGUACACAUUGUAGUACCCAGUGUUAGUGAAGAUGGAAAGUGGCCUCAUAUUUCACUGUCAAAACAUAUUUUCCAUGUCACAAUCAUCUAACCAGAUAUUUGCCUGUCGUCAGAAGAAAUAUGUUUGGACUCUAUCCUUUUUAGCAAAAAAAGAAACCAUAAUUUCAGAUCACUUUAUCACAACUGCUCAAUUUAGAAAUUGCUCAUAUCAUUGCCCCCACCAUCACCACGCUAACGUUGAACAUAUUCAUGAUAUUUGCUACAUCUAUUUCAGUGUGGGUUGUUGCCUUAGACAAUACCUUGAAAAUCAGCAUUUUUUUUCCUUUGAGUAAAAUGAUCAUUAUUACAAGAUAACAAUGUUUCAUGUAAGUACGUAGAGUCAGUGGUGUGAAUAUUAUGUUUGUGUGGAUAUGUAUAUGGUCAUGAAUUUGUUGUAUAACCCUAUAGAUAUAAAUUUUUGUAGAAGUUGUCGAUAACCAAACUGAAAAAAAAGGAAUGUAUGUAAAUGAUCUAAUGUGGCAUUGAAUUGGUUAUAAAAAUAUUAAAUCCCUUUUUCAAUAAAAAAUAUUAAUAUAUAUUAAAGUAA